rnacentral:rRNA from 1 species
CUGAACCAGCCAAGUAGCGUGAAGGAUGACUGCCCUAUGGGUUGUAAACUUCUUUUAUAAAGGAAUAAAGUCGGGUAUGCAUACCCGUUUGCAUGUACUUUAUGAAUAAGGAUCGGCUAACUCCGUGCCAGCAGCCGCGGUAAUACGGAGGAUCCGAGCGUUAUCCGGAUUUAUUGGGUUUAAAGGGAGCGUAGAUGGGUUGUUAAGUCAGUUGUGAAAGUUUGCGG